ACACAGCGGUAUUUACCAUACAGAGCUGGUAGACAGAUUGUGCGACGUUCGGGUGAGUUUACGUGGCUUCUAGUGAAGAAGAGGGGGCCUGACCAUCAGUGAUUGCCUUUCCUGACAACGCCUGGCCUGACUCUCAAGGGCUCUGCCAUAUGUCAUAUAGCAGAAGCCGUCAUGAAAGCGCAGCAGAACAUCUGGACCUUCCUGGAGAGGCUUGCUUCACAUUCCUUCCCUCAAAGCCAAAUUGAUUGGCCUUGACCUGGGGCCACACCAGGAGAAGGCACCUUCUGGGGCAAGGGUGCCUCGCAGUGCCUGGCUGAAGGCAGUCACCACAUGGUCCAGGAAGCCUGAGGAAUGAUAGGGAAUUCCAAAGAUGCCUGGAAUCCAUCACCUCUCCAUUCCCUGAAUUAUCUAGCAUGCCUGGAGGUCCUAUAAUCAAUGUCCACCACAUCACCGGGAAGCUUAACUCUGCAUUGAAAACAUCUGUUUCACAAAAUGAGAAAAGGAAGGAGGCUAGAGCAAUGGCUCAGCGAAAAGUAAUGAGCACUUGCUAUACUUCCAGAGUACUAGGGUAAGCAUGGACAAGGGUAAGGAGACAGGAAACCCUUACUCUUGAAUGGUGCAAACAUAAAUUCACUAUUUAGCUCCUAUAGAAAACAUAAAAAAUUGAUCCAUCUGGCUGGCAAGAGCAAGCUAUCUGGUUCAGUCAAAUUACAAUGUUAUAUACUACAUAAAUGUAGUUUAGGCUUGUCAAAUAUAUAUCAAUGAAAUUAUGAAAGAGAAAAACAAAUAAAGACUCAGCUUGCAGCCAUA